rnacentral:rRNA from 1 species
AUGAACGCUAGCGGCAGGCCUAACACAUGCAAGUCGAGGGGCAUCGGGAUUGAAGCUUGCUUCAAUUGCCGGCGACCGGCGCACGGGUGCGUAACGCGUAUGUAACCUACCUAUAACAGGGGCAUAACACUGAGAAAUUGGUACUAAUUCCCCAUAAUAUUCGGAGAGGCAUCUCUCCGGGUUGAAAACUCCGGUGGUUAUAGAUGGACAUGCGUUGUAUUAGCUAGUUGGUGAGGUAACGGCUCACCAAGGCAACGAUACAUAGGGGGACUGAGAGGUUAACCCCCCACACUGGUACUGAGACACGGACCAGACUCCUACGGGAGGCAGCAGUGAGGAAUAUUGGUCAAUGGACGCAAGUCUGAACCAGCCAUGCCGCGUGCAGGAAGACGGCUCUAUGAGUUGUAAACUGCUUUUGUACGAGGGUAAACUCACCUACGUGUAGGUGACUGAAAGUAUCGUACGAAUAAGGAUCGGCUAACUCCGUGCCAGCAGCCGCGGUAAUACGGAGGAUUCAAGCGUUAUCCGGAUUUAUUGGGUUUAAAGGGUGCGUAGGCGGUUUGAUAAGUUAGAGGUGAAAUCCCGGGGCUUAACUCCGGAACUGCCUCUAAUACUGUUAGACUAGAGAGUAGUUGCGGUAGGCGGAAUGUAUGGUGUAGCGGUGAAAUGCUUAGAGAUCAUACAGAACACCGAUUGCGAAGGCAGCUUACCAAACUAUAUCUGACGUUGAGGCACGAAAGCGUGGGGAGCAAACAGGAUUAGAUACCCUGGUAGUCCACGCAGUAAACGAUGAUAACUCGUUGUCGGCGAUACACAGUCGGUGACUAAGCGAAAGCGAUAAGUUAUCCACCUGGGGAGUACGUUCGCAAGAAUGAAACUCAAAGGAAUUGACGGGGACCCGCACAAGCAGUGGAUUAUGUGGUUUAAUUCGAUGCAACGCGAAGAACCUUACCAGCACUUGACAUCCAACUAACGAAAUAGAGAUAUAUUAGGUGCCCUUCGGGGAAAGUUGAGACAGGUGGUGCAUGGUUGUCGUCAGCUCGUGCCGUGAGGUGUCGGGUUAAGUCCCAUAACGAGCGCAACCCCUACCGUUAGUUGCCAUCAGGUCAAGCUGGGCACUCUGGCGGGACUGCCGGUGUAAGCCGAGAGGAAGGUGGGGAUGACGUCAAAUCAUCAUGCCCCUUAUGGCCUGGGCUACACACGUACUACAAUGGCUAUAACAAAGAGAAGCGAGACCGCGAGGUGGAGCAAAACUCAAAAAAGUAGUCUCAGUUCGGAUUGUAGACUGAAAUUCGUCUACAUGAAGCUGGAAUUGCUAGUAAUGGCAGGUCAGCAUACUGCCGUGAAUACGUUCCCGGGCCUUGUACACACCGCCCGUCAAGCCAUGGAAGCUGGGGGUGCCUGAAGUUCGUGACCGCAAGGAGCGACCUAGGGCAAAACCGGUAACUGGGGCU